AGUGAACGCUGGCGGUAGGCCUAACACAUGCAAGUCGAACGGCAGCACAGUAAGAGCUUGCUCUUACGGGUGGCGAGUGGCGGACGGGUGAGGAAUACAUCGGAAUCUACUUUUUCGUGGGGGAUAACGUAGGGAAACUUACGCUAAUACCGCAUACGACCUACGGGUGAAAGCAGGGGAUCUUCGGACCUUGCGCGGUUGAAUGAGCCGAUGUUGGAUUAGCUAGUUGGCGGGGUUAAGGCCCACCAAGGCGGCGAUCCGUAGCUGGUCUGAGAGGAUGGUCGGCCGCACUGGAACGUGGACGCGGUCCAGGCUCCUACGGGAGGCAGCAGUGGGGAAUAUUGGACAAUGGGCGCAAGCCUGAUCCAGCCAUACCGCGUGGGUGAAGAAGGCCUUCGGGUUGUAAAGCCCUUUUGUUGGGAAAGAAAAGCAGCAGGUUAAUACCCCGCUGUUCUGACGGUACCCAAAGAAUAAGCACCGGCUAACUUCGUG
rnacentral:rRNA from 1 species